rnacentral:rRNA from 1 species
CACGUAGGGCGCAAGCGUUGUCCGGAAUUAUUGGGCGUAAAGAGCUCGUAGGCGGUCCGUCACGUCCGCUGUGAAAACCCAGGGCUCAACCCUGGGCUUGCAGUGGAUACGGGCAGACUAGAGGGAGGUAGGGGCAUGUGGAACUUCGGGUGGAGCGGUGAAAUGCGUUGAUAUCCGAAGGAACGCCGGUGGCGAAAGCGACGUGCUGGAUCUCUUCUGACGCUGAGGCGCGAAAGCCAGGGUAGCGAACGGG